GUAUUUGUAAUUUACCAUUAUUAGUUAAUUUUUUAUGUAAACAAAAGUUUUGGUAAUUUUGUUGAUGUAAAAUAGAGUUAUUACUUGAAUAGAAUUCUAAUCAUAUUAAUUAUUACUUAGUUAAUAUUAGAGUUAAUUAAUCUGCCGCUUUGGCACGCUCUAUCUGUCCUUUUUGACACGCUUUAGUCUUGCUUCCUAUUUGUUUCCUUUUGUUGUAUUUUUCUUAUAUUUUUUCGGUUUGUUACUUUGAUCUUCCGUUUGUAGUGGGUUGUUUUCGUUGUGUGGUGAGAAAGAGGCAUUUUCUUUGCCAAACAAAUCUGAAGCACAAAAUGUUGUGUAUAAUUUCUGCUUGGUAGGGUGUUUUCUUAUUGCUAGUGUGGUGCAUUUCCCUACGAUGAGAAAUACUAUGGCCAACAUUUGGCAUCCUUUGGAGGGUGUGCAAAUUUCUGAUUUGGGGGAGAAACCCUUUCUUUUCAAGUUUUUCAAUGAGGUAGAUAAUUCACGGGUUAUCUCAGGUGCUCCUUGGACUUCCAAUAAUCACCUCCUGAUUUUCCAUAGGCUUGAGGAGAACGAAGACCCACCGGCUAUUCCUUUGGUGUUUUCAGAUUGUUGGAUUCAUGUCCACGAGUUGCCUCCGGGUUUCUUCCAGGAUUCUAUGGCAGUUCAGUAUUGGCAAAUUUCUUGAAUAUGACAUGAAGCAGUUGUCUAAUGGAUAUAUGAAUUAUAUACGCAUUUAGGUUUCGGUUUGAUGUUCGAAUUCAUCUAAAAAGAAGAAAGAAAAUUAAGAUUUUCGAGUCAAAAUUCACUUAUGCAAAAUUUAAGUAUGAAAAAUUAACUUUAUUUUGCUUUUUAUGUGGAUGUCUUGGUCAUGGUAAUAAUUUUUGUUCGCUGAGGUUACAAUAUGGAAUGCAGGAACUGGAGAUGGGUUGGGAUCUGUUUUUGAGAGCUCAAGGGAGGAAGGCUUCCAUUGCUAAUAGUAUCUGGUUAAGGGGGGAAGGAUAUAAUAGUUUUUUUUGGAAAGUCCCAUUUUGGGCAAUUUUCCAGCCAACAAUCAAGUCAUAAUCAAAGGCUUGAAUUAGGAGCUAAUUUUAUUUCCCCUUUUGGGAUUAAUUUGGAAGGGUCCAAAUUUCCUGCUGUUUUGAAUGAUUAUCAGCAAGGAAAUAAUUUUCGCAAUAAUGGGGAUAAGGAUUUGGAUCUUGGAAAAAGCCAAAUGUUUGGGCCUUCAUUUUCUAGUGACGUUCAAAGGAAAGCACCAGGUGGGUUGGGCCGACCAAAUGGGUUGUGAAUUAGAGGAACAACCUUUUAUUAAUGAAGAAGGUAAAAAAAAGGCAGAGAUUUAACGUGUUGAUCUCAAAUGUUUCUAAUGCUCAGGAUUUAUUGGAGGUUGCUAGGGAGAACUCUUCUCAUUAUAAUCAGAUAUCAGUGGCUGUCAUUGGGCUAGCCGACCAAAAGCAAUAAAAAUACCGUGCUGUAAUGUUUUCGGAUUGGGGAGUCUGCGAACUGUAAAAAGACUUUAGUAUAUACUGAAGAUUCAUCAUCCCCAACUUGUCUUAUUUGUGGAGACAAAAUUAAGUGCUAAUAAAAUAGAGGCAGUGAGGAGACGGUGUGGAUUUUACAAUGGUAUUGAUGUUUCAGCGAAAGGAUCUCGAGGGGGCUUAAGUGUCGGGUGUAAUGGGAAUAACUUAGUCAAUUUGCAGAGUUUCCCAAAAAAUAUCAAUGUUUAAAUUCAAGAAGAUGAUGCAACUUCUCGAUGGCAUUUCACCGGGUUUUAUGGGGCUCCGGAGUUUAAGAAUAAAGUGGAGACUUGGGAGUUACUUCAAAGGUUAGGGAGAAAUAAUUCACUUCCUUUAUUGGUGGGUGGUGAUUUCAAUGAUAUUCUUUUUACUUAUGAAAAACAAGGAGGAUUGCUAAGGGAGGAGGCUUGGAUGGAGGUUUUCCGCAGGACUUUGGAUGCUUUUCAAUUAGAAGAUAUUGGCUUUUUGAGAGCUUGGUUCACAUGGGAAAGAGGGAGAACUAUGGAAAGGAACAUUAGGGAAAGACUUGAUAGAGGAGUGGCCAGCGAUGCUUGGCUUUAACUUUUCCCUAAUUAUUCGUUGAGGCAUCUCCCACAUUCUUUCUCGGACCAUUUUCCUUUAUUCAUUGAAAUAGAGAAUGCUAGGAUGGAUAGAAGAUCUAUUCGGUUUCAAUUUGAAGCCUAGUGGGUUUUGGAGGAGACGUGUAAGGAUAAGAUUAGGAAGUUAUAAGAGGGUAGUUUUGGCUCCUUUCUUAUUCGCAUGACAACUCUUGCUGAUAGUUUGAAAGCAUGGGAUAACAAAAUUAAAAGUAAAGAAGGAUGGAAAGUGAAGCGUUUGAAUAGAAGAUUGGAGGAGUUGAAUUGUGAAGAGAUAUAAUAGGAGAAUUUGGGCAAGAUUUUUGAGGUCAAACUUCACUUGAAUAUGAAUUUGGAUAAGGAGGAGAAAUAUUGGGAACAAAAGGCAAGAGCUAAUUGGUUGAAAAUAGGGGAUAAAAAUACCUCGUUUUUUCAUAAAUUUACUUCCCAAAGAAGACCAGCCAAUCGUAUCUAGGGAUUGCAACGCAGGGAUGGAUCUCUUGCUAUGGAUGGAAGGGAGGUGGAAAGCAUUGCCUGUGGGUACUUUUCUGACUUUUUUGAGUCUAGAGGAAUAAGGGACUUGGAGCGCAUUCUUUUUAAGGUCCAUUUGUGUAUUUCAGACAAUGUGAAUCAAAGAUUAACAGCCACUUACAAGGAGGUUGAAAUUAUUGAGGCAUUGAAAGGAAUAGGACCUACUAAAGCGUCGAGUGCUGAUGGUUUUCCAAUAAUCUUUUACCAAAAAUUCUGGCACAUGAUCGGUAAGGAUGCUAGUGGUUUUUGUUUAAAUAUUCUUAAUAAUGGAAAUUCUUUGGAGGAUAUUAACAAAACCCAAUUGGUGCUGAUUCCCAAAGUGGCUAAUCCUAUUAAUCUGAAGAAUUUUUGCCCUAUUAAUUUAUGCGCAAUUAUUUUUAAGAUUAUUGUAAAAACUGUUGCUAAUCGACUUCAAAAGGCUUUGCAUGAGUGUAUUGAUGAUUCGCAGAGUGCUUUUGUUCCUGGCAGAUUCAUUACUAACAAUGUACUUUUGGCUUAUGAGGUACUUCACUCGUUCAAGAAUAAAAGAUAUGGGAGAAAGGGUCUCAUGGCUUUAAAACUUGAUAUGAGUAAGGCAUAUGACAGAGUGAAGUGGCCUUUCAUAAAAGGAAUAAUGUUAAAAAUGGGUUUUGAUGGGCAUUUUAUUGAUAUGAUUAUCCGUUGCAUGAAUUUUGUCUAAUAUUCCAUCUUGAUUAAUAGGGAAGAAGGGUCUAGUUUUAAACCUUCUAGGGGUUUGCGCCAAGGAGAUCCCUUGAAUCCCUAUCACUUUUUGUUUUGUGGUGAAGGACUUUCUACUCUAAUGAGACUGGCUAGUGAGGAUAAGAAAAUUUGUAGUGCUGAAGUUUGUAGGUCUGCCCCCUAUCACCCACCUAAUGUUUGCAGAGGAUUGUAUUCUAUUCGGAGAUGUAUCGAAUCAGGGAAUCAAUGUGUUGAAGGACAUUCUCGCAGAGUAUAAGUCAUGCUCAGGACAGUGUGUGAAUUUUAAGAAAUCCACUAUUUUUUUCAGUACUAAUGUGAAGGAUCAUGACAAGAAUCUGGUUUUUUCAGGUUCUUAAUGUUCGUUGCUCGACAGAUCCAGAGAGAUAUCUUGGGCUUCCAAAUUUGGUGGGCUAUAAAAAAAACGGCUUUCCAGAAUUUGAAAGAUCGUUUGAAGCAGAAAAUCAACAACUGGAGUAUAAGGCAUAUUUCUUAAGGAGGUAGAGAAGUUUUUAUUAAGGCUGUUUUACAGGCUCUGCCCAUUUAUACAAUGGCUUGUUUCCUUUUACCAAAAUCUCUUUGUUUAGAGUUAGAGAACAUAAUGGGUUCAUUUUGGUGGAGUAAUAACCAUGGAAAGAGAGGGAUGCAUUGGUGUGAUUGGAAGUCCUUAUGUGCGCUUAAGGGGAAAGGUGGCAUAGGUUUUCGUCAUUUGAGUUAUUUUAAUAUUACUUUGUUGGCCAAACAGGGUUGGCGUUUGUUAUGAUACCCUAAUUCCUUACUAGUGCGUACUUUGAAAGCUAAAUAUUUUAAGAAUUCUGAUUUCUUAAACUCUAGCUUAGGAAAUUUAUCUUCUUUUACCUGGUAAAGUCUUUAGGCUGCGAGGGGCCUCCUUCUGAAGGGUCUGGGGUGGAGGAUCAGGGAUGGUCGGAAAGUUUCUAUCUAGGACGAUGUUUGGAUUCCUGGAAAUGAUUAGGUCAGAGUCCAAAACAUGAAUAGUAACUUAAGACUUAUUAAGGUUGCAGAUUUGAUUAAUGCUGAGUCUAGACAAUGGAAUUUUGAUUUGGUUAAUAGUACCUUCUCAAGGCUAGUUGCAGAAAGAAUUCUUUGUAUCCUCUUCCUUUGUUGAGCAAGAAGAUUUUCUCAUAUGGAGGGGUGAGUUGUCUGGGGAGUACUUGGUUCGUAGUGGUCACAAAAUUCUCUUACAUGACGAACAGAAUCACAUACGUGCAGAUUACAUACAACUUUACAAGAAAUUGUGGAAGCUAGAUUUACCCUUUAAAAUUAAAAUUACAGUUUGGAGACUUUCGUGUAACUAUGUGCCUACUUUUAGUAACCUAUACUAUCGAAGGAUGCUGGCUUCUCCUACUUGUCGACGGUGUCAAUCUGGAGCGGGAACAAGGAAGCAUCUAUUUCAUGAAUACCGUUCUACAAAUGAAACAUGGGAGCAGUUAAGUAUUUUUUGGCCUAUUUUAGAUGAAACCUUAAAUUUCAGAAAUUGGUUAAAAAGUACUUUUGAGUCCAGAUCUAAAGCUAAUUGAAGAAUGAUAGCAUGUGUUCUAUGGGCGAUUUGGACUUUUCGAAAUAGAUUUAUUCAUGAAGGGGAAAUCAAAUCAAGUGCUCAAAUUGUUGUUUUUGUGAAAAACUAUUUAAAGGAACUUGAUGGUUUGCAUAGUUAUGUACCUGAAAGAAGGGUGUGUAUGAAUAGAUGGGUUGCGCCGUUGGGAUCGAGGUUGAAAAUAAAAUUUGAUGCCGCUUUUAACAACCAUAAAAAAGAGUCGUGCUCUGGGUUAGUGAUUUGAAAUAAGGAACCAGGGGUCAUUUGUUCAAAAACUGUAAUGAACACGAACAUACCAUCCGUCUUUGCAGCAGAAGCAGUGGCGCUUCAGGCGCUGAAUCUUGGGUUACAACUCGGGUUGAGAGAAGUGGAGGUUGAGGUUGACUCUUGGUCGGUAAUUCGGAAGCUGCAAGAGAAGAUGAAUGACAGAUUAGAGAUAUCAGUGUAUUUCAAUGAUGCUUUGCAACUGAAUUUAAGAUUCAGUUUAUGUGUCUUUGUUUUUACUAACAGAGAGGCAAACAAGGUUGCCCAUUUACUAGCAUCUGAAAGAAUUAAAAAGGGAGAGUCUACUUAUCUGUCGAAUUUGGUCCCUUUUGGCGUUGUGGAGGCGGUGGCUGAAGAUAGACAGUGGAUAGAGGAGGCGAGAAAGUCAAGAGAGAGGGGAAAUGAAGAGGUAGGUGUAACAACUCGAUUUAGACCCUAAUCAAAACGGUGGUUUCGGGACCACGAAUCUGAGUCAGAAAAAUAUUUUUAAAUUAUUUUCGUGUUUAUUUUGUUUGAAUUUAUAUCUGUGAAAAUUUCGUGAUUUAAUUUUGUCGUUUAGGUGUCCGAUUAAAUAAAGGACUUAAUCGCUUAAAUUAAAAACUUGAUAGUUUAAAACAUAAGGGCCUAAUUGUUAGUGGCUUUCUAAGUUAGGACAUUUAUGUUGUAAAUAUCUCAUUAAUAAGUAAGUGGGACGGCAUAAGAUAUAUGUUACAUGGUUUUUAUAUUAUAUUAGUAAAGGUAUAUA
rnacentral:lncRNA from 1 species